rnacentral:rRNA from 1 species
AACGAACGCUGGCGGCAGGCUUAACACAUGCAAGUCGAACGCAUCGCAAGAUGAGUGGCAGACGGGUGAGUAACGCGUGGGAACAUACCCUUUUCUACGGAAUAGCUCUGGGAAACUGGAGUUAAUACCGUAUACGACCUACGGGGGAAAGAUUUAUCGGGGAAGGAUUGGCCCGCGUUGGAUUAGCUAGGUGGUGGAGUAAAGGCAUACCAAGGCGACGAUCCAUAGCUGGUCUGAGAGGAUGAUCAGCCACAUUGGGACUGAGACACGGCCCAAACUCCUACGGGAGGCAGCAGUGGGGAAUAUUGGACAAUGGGCGCAAGCCUGAUCCAGCCAUGCCGCGUGAGUGAUGAAGGCCUUAGGGUUGUAAAGCUCUUUCACCGAUGAAGAUAAUGACGGUAGUCGGAGAAGAAGCCCCGGCUAACUUCGUGCCAGCCGCCGCAGUAAUAC